CGCCUACGUGAGAGACCCUCGUGAGCCCAGCUAUACAACCUCCUCUCCUCCACCCAUCCUCGUUCACUCCGCAUCUGCAGCCGAAUUCCCCCGUCUGCACCGCUCAGUCCCCCGGACAGCCGGACCUCUCCUCGCCUUGCCAUGGCAGCCGCAGCACUGAGGGCGCAGCUGAACGCCCAUAUCGCCGGCAUGUACACCAAUGGUGUGGUGGACGAGGAUACAUUCGAGGAGCUGCGGGACGAGGGCACCGCCGCCGAGGUCUCCCGCCUCUUCAUCUACGACGCCUCCGAGAUCAUCGACGACAUCGACCUCCAGAUGGAGGAGCCUGAAUUGGACUUUGACGAGGUGGAAGCCCUGACGCAGCAGCUCAUGCGGUGCACCUCCAGUGUUGGUGCACAGCAAGUGAACCUCGCCUGCAUGCACUUCGGCAAUUUCUAUGCCAUACAAUACAAACAAGGGUCAAAACUUAGUAGCUUAUUUAAUACUGCUACACAAUAAUUAUUCGCAACAUUGUUUUUCAAGGUCUCUCGUGUCAUUGGCUCUUGUUAGGAAUGAGUUCUAUAUUGUGCGACAUGAGUUGGAGAUCGUGAUGCAGCUCGAAGAGCAGAUCGCGGCAUGUGGUCCUGACUCCUAAGUAGCGGCAAGUGAAGGGGGAAGAGCCUGGCCCCAUGCAAUCCCUUGCAUUAUGCGGUCCAUGUGUCUUGGAAGAUGUAGCCAUUUUCAAAGGGUGUCUAGCACUAUAGGGUGCGCGUAAAACUUAGAUGAAUAUUCUCGCUUCGGAACUUUGGGCUCGUAACCCUGUGAAAGAAAACUGUUGUCGUGUGUUGAUGUCAGUGUGAAGUCUAUAUUCUAGAGUGUCGUGGAUGUGUUGGCCCCCGCCUACAGGCUGUUUAUAAAACAUAUACUUGGUUGGUUGGUCCUCUA